GUCAAAAGAAUCAUCAAGGAAUUCAAUACUUUUAAUAGGAAACAUCCAUCACAUAUUUGAAAAGCUGUGUACAUUAGGGGGAAAUCAGUUGUUUCUGUUUUGGUUAGUUUACUGUAACUUAUCACCAAUGUCAAAAUAAUCAUCAAUUUAUUAAUGGGUACAAUAACUCAGGCACAAAUAAACCAAUUGAAAUAGCACCAACCAAUGCAGUCCCAAGCUACCCAGAUAUGUUUAGGGAGUUGUUAAGCAGCAGAGCAGCAGACAAUUUCACUUGCAUCGCAGGACAUCCAAAAAUAGGUUCUUCCAUCGUCAUCAAUCUGUUUAUAUGCAAAAAUGAAACGAAUAACUAAAUAUUCAGGAACCAGCUAGCAUUUCUAAUUCAUUGCAUUAUUGGUCAUUUCAUUUAAACACCCAUUUUCCUUAGCACAAUGCAAUCAGCAACCAAGCAUUUUAUAUAGAGGUAAAGAUGCGAUGGUUCUUCCCGUCCAAACAACAAUGUCCUUACUGCUAGUGCAUGCUAGUUGCCUACAAAUGAUGUUCUUGUUAAGUUUAUAAAAUCGAUGAUGUGCUUAUGACAUAUUAGUUCAAACUUAAUAGUUUAUGCAAUUGUUUCAAUUCAGUUGCAUCUACCAAGAAACACUUAUUUCAUACUUCGACUUUGGUUGGAGGAUGCAAAGAGGACUAAAAACUGAUAGUGCCAACACUUCACCUGAUCAGUGCAUACUAGAAUGUCACUUGAUAAACAAUUGUACAUAAAAUAUAUAAUCUGACCAAUGGCUAUGAACACUUAAGAAGUAGUUCAAUCUCACUUAGGAAAUGAUUAAAUCUGUUCCUUUGCCUAUACAACAAAAGGAUGAAUCUAGGUAUUUAAAGUAAAUAAAGAAUCUUCUUUGGGAAACAAAAUAUGUUAUUAGAAGAUAGAGUAAUAAUUCAUGAGAUAAUAAGAUAAUAAAAUACUACCCUAUAGUUCUAUGAGCUGUGUAGAGUAAUAAUUCUCUUAUAUAAUUUUAACAGUACCAGAAUAACAAUAAUUCAAGGUUCCAUACAUGAUGACAACCAAGUUAAAUGAUCAUGCAACACUGAAAUUAAGAAGGUAGGGAGACUGUACAAUGUUUCUUAUACAAAAUAACUUUGUAUAGAUGGAUGCAAGAUAGAAAAUGUGAUAUCAAGAUAAAUAAGAUACAAAAUGGGACAUUGGGUUCGAUGAAAUAUUUAUUUUGUACAAACCAUAUAUAAGAAAUAUAGUAGCUUUGAGGAAGUAUCUUCCUAACUUCAACUUGGUAAGCAGGAAUAAUAGAUCAUAUGACACCUAUUUAGAUGUCGACUAAAUUAAUCUGGCUACUGGAAAAAAUAUAUGGGAUCCAAACAGGGUAGUUUCCUCUUUGUUUUGUAGUCACUCACAUAUUCUUUGUUAAUUGGUUUUCGUUUUUCUUAUUAGAUUGUUGCAAAAUAUCUUCAAUGUAUUAGCUACAACUAAACAGAUCCACAUACAAAUAGGAGAGACCGUCAGCAAAUGAACCAUGAGCAGAUCUAACCAAAAAAGGUAUGAUAUACAUGGAAGUUUCUUAGAAGCUAGCAACCAUUCAAAGGGGAAGGAUGACGAUUCUUGCACCUUAAACGACUAGGGUCCAGGGCGGACUACCAAAUCGAAGGAGGACGAUGCUAGUGACACGAUUCGUUUGGUGUUCUCGGCACCAAGCUUGGAGGUCAGAACGAACCAACAUAUGAGUUUUGGUGAUAGCAACCUUGGGGCGAAAGGCUAGUGUAGUUGUUCGUCGGUGCUCUGUGGCGCCCACGACAUCCGACGCCGCCGGCUGGUUGCUGCUUUGCGUAAGGAAACCAAUCGAUGCGAGUGGUCCUCACCAAAAUCAGGUCGACUCCGGCAGCCUGGUGUGGUGGUGCCUAGCUUCGCGUCCGACAUCCUAGCCGCGGGCGUGCCGACGGUGUGGUGGAGAUGGUUGCCAGGGGAACGGAGAUGGAGAGGAAAUCUCCGCAUUGGCGUGGGAUUCACUGCCGACCGGUGUAUAGCGGACGUCUGGAGUCCGCCAAAAUUAGGGGAUGGA
rnacentral:lncRNA from 1 species